UGGGCCGAGCCGGAUUUGAACCAGCGUAGACAUAUUGCCAACGAAUUUACAGUCCGCCCCCACGGGCAUCGACCC
rnacentral:tRNA from 1 species